UACAGAGGUCUCAAGCGUUGUUCGGAUUCAUUGGGCGUAAAGGGUGCGUAGGCGGCGCGGUAAGUCGGGUGUGAAAUCUCGGAGCUUAACUCCGAAACUGCAUUCGAUACUGCCGUGCUUGAGGACUGGAGAGGAGACUGGAAUUUACGGUGUAGCGGUGAAAUGCGUAGAUAUCAGGAAGAACACCCGUGGCGAAGGCGGUUCUCUGGGACGGUACUGACGCUGAGACGCGAAAGCGUGGGAGCGAACAGG
rnacentral:rRNA from 1 species